UAGGGAAUCUUCGGCAAUGGACGGAAGUCUGACCGAGCAACGCCGCGUGAGUGAAGAAGGUUCUCGGAUCGUAAAGCUCUGUUGUUAGAGAAGAACGUUGGUAGGAGUGGAAAAUCUACCAAGUGACGGUAACUAACCAGAAAGGGACGGCUAACUACGUGACAGCAGCCGCGGUAAUACGUAGGUCCCGAGCGUUGUCCGGAUUUAUUGGGCGUAAAGCGAGCGCAGGCGGUUCUUUGAGUCUGAAGUUAAAGGCAGUGGCUUAACCAUUGUACGCUUUGGAAACGGGAGGACUUGAGUGCAGAAGGGGAGAGGGGAAUUCCGUGUGUAGCGGUGAAAUGCGUAGAUAUAUGGAGGAACACCGGUGGCAAAAGCGGCUCUCUGGUCUGUAACUGACGCUGAGGCUCGAAAGCGUGGGGAGCAAACAGG
rnacentral:rRNA from 1 species